rnacentral:rRNA from 1 species
UACGUAGGGUGCAAGCGUUGUCCGGAAUUACUGGGCGUAAAGGGCGCGUAGGCGCCUUCUAAGUCGAACGUGAAAUCCCCGGGCUCAACCCGGGAACUGCGUCCGAUACUGGAAGGCUUGAAUCCGGGAGAGGGAUGCGGAAUUCCAGGUGUAGCGGUGAAAUGCGUAGAUAUCUGGAGGAACACCGGUGGCGAAGGCGGCAUCCUGGACCGGUAUUGACGCUGAGGCGCGAAAGCCAGGGGAGCAAACGGG